GCGCCUUUGUAGUCCCAGCCGGUCUUCCUCUUCGGGCCCCUCUGCCCCGGCUUUCUCAGGAGUCGCACUGCCCCGCUUGCAGACGUCCGGGGCCUGGGACGGAACGGCGCGAACCCUCUCUGCUCGGCUGGGCAGGUGCAGACCCGGUCGAAGCUCGCCUGAAGCGCGGGCGGUGUCGCGGCCCCUGGAAGGGGACGGAGGAACAGCCGUGCGGGGUCCUCAGCCUGGAGAGAAGGGGCCUGCGGGAGGCUAACCUGGAGCUGUGGAAGCCCCUCCUGCGCUCUGCGCUCGGUUGGCGGGUCAGGGCUCCAUAGCGGGGACGAGGCCCGGAGGUGGGGUCCGCCUGGGUCCUUCCCUCCUCCCUGUGGCUGGGCCCAGAGGGGCCCCUGAGGACCCUGUGCUACUUCCUAAAGGCGCGGCUGUGAGGGUCCCCGGGGGCAGAAGGCAUCAGAGGGGGCUCUGUGUGUGAGUGUGUCAGAGAGAGGUGGGGUGUGCGUGCGCGCUGUGAGUGGGUGUGGGGGGUGAGGAUGUAGAGUAUGGUCGUAUUAUGCGAGUGUGGUGUGUGUGUGCCCCCCACAUCUCACCCCAGGCCAAUCUCCUCCAUCAUUGUCUUCGUCGUCGUCUCUUGUGGCCCUGCCAGGGACCCCAGUCCCCCGCCUGCUUCAGCGUUGGCAGUGGCCUGAGCCUCCUCUGACCCCUGUGGAUCCCACUCACCCAAGCCUGACUCCAGGUUAGCACCCUGCUGCUCUCACCUCAAAGCAAAUGGGACUCCUUGAGUAGAAUUCAUCAAUGAGACGAUUCAUUCUCACACUCUGAGAAAGGCUGCAAGACACUCAUUCCUCAGCUUGAUUACACCACACCACAAGCCACAAUGUGAGGGUCUACGUAACCAAAUGCCUGCUUAAAUGCGAGUCACUACAUUCACACUGGAGAGGGAGCCAUCUGUCCAAGAACCAAAAAGCCUAUCUGUGCCCACAAGUUGGAGGCUGCUGGGCCUCUGCCACUGGCAGAAUCCAUUGGCAUUUGUAGUGGACAUUGUGAAAGACUUGGAGGAGCUUAGGGCUCCUCCUGUGCCUGUAUCCUGGAGGACUGUUUACUUUUGGGGUGGGUGUCUCCUGUUCCUUGGCAUUGUUAAACAGGUCUCACGGAAAGGGCCUGGGAUUGUUUGUUCUUUCAUUGUUUGACUGGCUGCUGUUGACAGUGGUUUCCUGAACCAGGUCCUGCUUCACUCCAAGGCCCCAGCUCCGGAAUUCUGACAGGGUCGAAGCAAAGUUGUAGCAAAGUUUGCCCCAGGAAAGGCAAAAUGGAAAACCAGAGAGGCACAAGAGGGAUUGCGAGAUUAUAGUAACAAAGGCACUGAGAAGAAGCACAAAAUUCACCAGGUGGCGUAGGAAAGAGGGUGGAAGCCGCUGCCCAUUCCUUCUGGUCUCAGCACUGAAUUUGACCAGAGCACACCAGUCCUGGGCUGUACUUGACAAGCCACAAAACCUUAGCUCUGCCGAAACGACAGGAAGUUAAAGGCAGAGAAAUGGAGAAUGUGGAAGGAAGGAAGAAAGAAUGGGGCUAGGUUCCAGAACUAAAUCUGAGGUAGCCCAGAUUUCUGACCUGAAGGACAGCUGUGCAUGGCUCCUUCUGGAAUGCUAGCUAGAUAGAUCAUCACACCAGGAAUUCCCAGUCUUUGACCCUGAUAGACGAGCUGUGCAUGUGUGUGCACCCGUGCGUGCAUGUGUGCGUGUGUACAUGUGUGUGCAACUGCACAUAUGUAUGUGCAUGUGUGGGUGUGUACGUGUGCAUGCACUCAUGCACAUGUAUUUGGUGUGCUGGGUGCACGUGCCUACGUGUAUGUAUAAGAACAUGAUUAAAUGCUAUACAAGGCACACAUAUACAUGUAUCUGUCCACUAGGUGUACAGCAUUCACUCAAAACAUAUGCUUAA